UACACUCCUGCGGGAGGCAGCAGUGGGGAAUAUUGCACAAUGGGCGCAAGCCUGAUGCAGCCAUGCCGCGUGUAUGAAGAAGGCCUUCGGGUUGUAAAGUACUUUCAGCGGGGAGGAAGGCGAUAAGGUUAAUAACCUUGUUGAUUGACGUUACCCGCAGAAGAAGCACCGGCUAACUCCGUGCCAGCAGCCGCGGUAAUACGGAGGGUGCAAGCGUUAAUCGGAAUUACUGGGCGUAAAGCGCACGCAGGCGGUCUGUCAAGUCGGAUGUGAAAUCCCCGGGCUCAACCUGGGAACUGCAUUCGAAACUGGCAGGCUAGAGUCUUGUAGAGGGGGGUAGAAUUCCAGGUGUAGCGGUGAAAUGCGUAGAGAUCUGGAGGAAUACCGGUGGCGAAGGCGGCCCCCUGGACAAAGACUGACGCUCAGGUGCGAAAGCGUGGGGAGCAAACAGGAUUAGAUACCCGAGUAGUCCCAUGA
rnacentral:rRNA from 1 species